rnacentral:lncRNA from 1 species
CGCCGCCGCCACCGGGAACAAUGCGGGCCAAUGUCUUCGGGCGGGCGAGCCCGCUAUGCAAAUGUCCAACGGCCUGUGAGAAUCCCCCUCCGCCGCCGCCCCGGCUUCCACCGCCUGAAAGGGGCUGGCGGCCGGGCCUGGGGAGGCGGUCACUGCAUAGGGAUGAGCUGUCGUCAGGGAGCGCCCGCCCGGGACAGAGCGCCAUUGUCUAUGUGCCGCCGUCUGAUCGCCAGUGGAGUUCGCCAGCAGAGUUCGCCAGCCUGGGGAGGACGGCAGAAGGUGACCCAAACCAGGCCUCGGGACGUAGAAGGAAUGGUCACCUGUUCCGUCCACAUCUGCUCCUAUCCCCAAAGAGCCUUGACCUUGGGGUCAGACGGUGGGGGGCCCCCAUCUCGGCAACCCCACUCGCUAGCUUGGCGACCUGCACAAGUCAGUUCAUUUCUCUGAGCCUCUGUCUCUUGGAGGUUAAACCUGGCCGGUAGUUGCUGUGCCUCCCACCCUCUCUCCCUGUUAACCACGCCCUCCCCAAUUUCCAUCCAUUUUUUCACACCGCCUUGACCAGAGACGUCUCAGGAGCCGCUUCCCUUCCAAAGCCCUGAGGGAAUAGUCAUGGGUUCCCUAAAGCAGGUUACUGGACAGAGAUGCCCCAAGGGAUCCUCUCUGACCCUUCAGCCCCAGGCCCAGUCCAGGCCUUCCUUCCUGCUGCGUUCCACAGUCCACCACCAGUUAAGGAGUCCCACCUUUUACUGGGAGCCAUGGCAGGACUGAAAUAAACUUCUCCAAUGAUGCAGAGCUGGGGGUUGCUGCAAGUUCCCUCCCACAAGUGAAAGAAGUGCAUCCCUCUACCCCCAGCUCAGGAGCCCGUGUCCAUCUAAGAGACUGUACCGGUCCAACACUGGAGGAAAUACCUGGACAGUGGGCAAGGGAGCUCUCUGCUGGGAGCGGAAUCCAUUCCAGCUGGGAUCUCAGCCCCCGGCUCUUGGGCACUUACAGGCUGAGCUCCAGUAGUUGAGUUUGCAACUCAGCCAGGUGCGGGACCUGAGUCCAUCUUUCCUAAACUCCCACCAAGACUCAUGAUCAAGGAGCUGAUGCCACUCAGGAGCUCCUGAUGGCCCCAGGCCUGGCCUAGAGACUGACUCAGGUGUUGGGCUUGUCUCUUCUGUGCUGUGGAAGCUCAAACCACCGCAAGGCAAUGAGAUGGGCUGUCUCCCCAGCCCGUCCCUUGUGCAGAGAGAAGGAAUGGGUGCAAUGACCCUGAGGGCGUGCUGCUCCCCUUCACCCAGAAGGUCCCCAGGGAGGCAGUUGUGGAAGGGAAGUGGGCAAACCCCGCCUCUGGAUGAGACGGCACCAUAACCCCCACGAUCUCUGAGGUCUCAGUAGCAAAGGAAAGGAGAUGAAAAGCUCAAUCUGUCCUCAGAACAUUGGGUAUGAAGGAGAUGAUGAAAUAAAUAUCAGUAUCCCACCUCCCAAACCUUGGGAAGUGCAGACUUCAAGAAUGACUUCCAGAUAUAGAAGAACACAGAGGGGCCUCUGCUUCUCUGGUGGGUUACCAACCUCGAGAACUGAAUUGGGGGUCUGGAAGGCAAGAGGAGAGAAAACACUCCUUCUUAACGUCACUCAGUGAUGAAGAAAAGUCUGCAUGCUGAUAGUCAUCAGGUUAAUUUACCUUGAAGACACAGAUGAAAGCUGCAAUUGGAGGAGGGUGGGUUCAGUCAGAAAGAUAACCCACCUAAAUGCAGAGGAAAUCAGAAAAAAGGAGGGCUGGAAACCAGGGAUAAGCCUUAACUCCAAGCCUGAUUUCUAGGAGGGGUGCUCUCAAUGCACCCUCUCACUUCUAACACCCGCAAGUACCCACUUGACUCCCAGCCUCAGCUCUGCCAGCCCAUCCGUUUCGUAAAGGGAUGUCUGAGUCUGAAAUUGUUAUCUUCAAACCAAAGAGGAGGCCACCCCUCCCCCAGCUUGCUGACUUGCUGGAAAACAGGCACAAGGACAGUUGGGGAGCCUGUGGCUCCUUCUUCCACUCUAAUCAAAGAGUCGUGGGGUCCCAGGAACAAUCGCACCUCUCCAUACUGAUAUCUGCCCUGUCACCCCCUCCACACACACACACAAUGCCCAGGGGGACGUGGUGACAAGGACCAGGGCCCAGGAGGCAUGGAACAUGUGUGUGCAUGUUUGGUGGUUGGCAGCCUCAGCCUCUCCCAGAAAUCUGGCCUCUGGGAUACCAGAAAUAGUCUACUGGCCUCCAGCCUCCACUACCCCACGAUGGUUCCAGCCUGUCUCCAAGAAAGCACCCUGUGGGUGGGGACUGGAGGCGAGAAGAGCUCCUUCUUUCUAUAUCCGCUGGCCCUUCUUUAAAAACAAGAAAUUAAAAAACCAUCACCAGGUGAGUCUGAAGAGAGCUUGAGUAGGGGUCUCUCCCCUUUGAGAGCCUAAGUGUCUGCCCUUCACUUGCCUUCAAGCUGCCCUCAGCCCCCUUCCCACCUGCCAGCUCAAGGGAAA